AUGCUUCUACUUUCUGUAUGGAGCUGGGAGCGUCUGCCUGUUGGACGCCCGAAGAGCGUCAGGUUUAAUCCUUGGUAUGAAGAUGAAGAUGACAAAUUACGGCGCCCCACUUGGGCUUACAAGUGGGAUGUGGUUUCCGAGAUGACGAACGAUGUCAAUCUCAUGUACCAGAAGUACGUUGCCGAGUUGGACACGAUUACGCCUGAGCAGGUAACGAGGUCAUUACUUUAG
rnacentral:rRNA from 1 species